rnacentral:piRNA from 2 species
UUGGUCUCUGAUAGGUGCAAUCCAUA